rnacentral:rRNA from 1 species
GCACAAGCGGUGGAGCAUGUGGUUCAAUUCGACGCAACGCGAAGAACCUUACCUGGGCUUGACAUCCCGAGAAUCCCGCAGAAACGUGGGAGUGCCCUUCGGGGAACUCGGUGACAGGUGCUGCAUGGCUGUCGUCAGCUCGUGUCGUGAGAUGUUGGGUUAAGUCCCGCAACGAGCGCAACCCUUGCCUUUAGUUGCCAGCAUUCAGUUGGGAACUCUGGCGAGACUGCCGGUAAUAAACCGGAGGAAGGUGGGGAUGACGUCAAAUCAUCAUGCCCCUUAUGACCUGGGCUACACACGUGCUACAAUGGUUGGUACAACGAGUUGCGAGUCGGUGACGGCGAGCUAAUCUCUUAAAGCCAAUCUCAGUUCGGAUUGUAGGCUGCAACUCGCCUACAUGAAGUCGGAAUCGCUAGUAAUCGCGGAUCAGCACGCCGCGGUGAAUACGUUCCCGGGCCUU